GAUGAACGCUGGCGGCGUGCCUAAUACAUGCAAGUCGAGCGAACGGACGAGAAUCUUGCUUCUCUCAUGUUAGCGGCGGACGGGUGAGUAACACGUGGAGAACCUACCUAUAAGACUGGGAUAACUUCGGGACACCGGAGCUAAGACCGGAUAAUAUUUUGAACCGCAUGGUUCAAAAGCGAAUGACUGUCUUGCUGUCACUUAUAUAUGUUACCGGGCUGCAUUAGCUGAUUGGUAAGGUAACGGCUUACCAAGGCAACGAUGCAUAGCCGACCUGAGAGAGGGAUCGGCGACACUGGAACUGAGACACGGGCCAGACUCCUACGGGAGGCAGCAGUAGGGAAUCUUCCGCAACGGGCGAAAGCCUGACGGAGCAACGCCGCGUGAGUGAUGAAGGUCUUCGGAUCGUAAAACUCUGUUCUUAGGGAAGAACAUAUGUGUAAGUAACUGUGCACAUCUUGACGGUACCUAAUCAGAAAGCCACGGCUAACUACGUG
rnacentral:rRNA from 1 species